UACGUAGGGGGCAAGCGUUGUCCGGAUUUAUUGGGCGUAAAGCGCGUGUAGGCGGCCAAGCAAGUCCGCUGUGAAAACUCGAGGCUCAACCUCGAGAGGUCGGUGGAAACCGUUUGGCUAGAGUCCGGAAGAGGAGAGUGGAAUUCCCGGUGUAGCGGUGAAAUGCGCAGAUAUCGGGAAGAACACCCGUGGCGAAGGCGGCUCUCUGGGACGGUACUGACGCUGAGACGCGAAAGCGUGGGGAGCGAACAGG
rnacentral:rRNA from 1 species